AAUCUGGCUCAGGAUGAACGCUAGCGGCAGGCUUAACACAUGCAAGUCGAGGGGCAGCGCGGAGUAGCAAUACUCUGGCGGCGACCGGCGGAAGGGUGCGUAACACGUGAGCGACUUGCCCGUCACAGGGAGAUAACCGCUGGAAACGGCGACUAAUAUCCCAUAUGAUGGCGAUCUGCAUGGAUUGUCAUUGAAAGAUUCAUCGGUGGCGGAUAGGCUCGCGGGG
rnacentral:rRNA from 1 species